rnacentral:rRNA from 1 species
AAUCAGCCGGUACUCCGAAUGCUCUAGAUUUANAGUUUGAUCAUGGCUCAGAUUGAACGCUGGCGGCAGGCCUAACACAUGCAAGUCGAGCGGAUGAAGCUGGAAGCAUUGCUCCACUGAUGUCAGGUCGGGGCAGGAUCGCGGGUAGAGGUAAUUAGCCGAUAGUAGAAAUCCUUGACACUUCGUGAUAUGCUUGGGUGCGGACAAGCGAUUAUCCGAGAUAUGAGAGAACAGCUAACUACCAGACAUAUACGUCCAUACAGGCGAAGAAGAGAAGGGCCUUUAAAGNNGGGGGGAGGGGAAAAGCACAUCAGCGCGCCGCCGUCAUGGUGUUUUUUGUGNUUUUUUCCNACAGCGGGNGCGAAAAAAACGGGCGGGCGAGAUUCUUGCUGCGGCGGCCGGGAGCCUCCCUCUUCAGCCGCUCGUUGGAGCGCCUUUUUUUGUUUGUGUUUGUUUUUGGGGCGCNGGGAACACNAACACGAGUGUGNUGUAGGCGCCCCCCCCGCGGAAGGGGNUUUUUUUUUUUUUACACAAAANUACUGUGCGCGGGGGUGGUUUUUUUUUUUUCUCUCCCCCCCCCCGCCGCGGUGUAAGAAAGACAGNAAAAAANAGGGGGGGAGGAGCAACCACAUGUGAUANACGAAUNAAAAUAAAACUGACUGGGAAACAGGAUUAUUUUUUUCUUUGNGGGGGGGGGGGCGAUGUUUAAAAAAAAAAAAAAGAAUUCGCGCGGCGGCNNCAAGCACCCCNCCCCCCACAAUACCCCACCCCCACCACANUAAUNAAACAAAAUUUUUUUUUUUUUUUUUUUUUNUACAAAAACACAACCAACCACACUACNACUCAGGNCGAUACCAAAAACCANUACACCANUACACGUCGAGCUGCGCG